GGGUCCACUGUUAGCCUCACCUCCUCAAUGGGAUGGUUGUUCUCUUCAACUGUAAAUGAUUUAGUUGGUCAGUUCUGUUGUGAUCGCUCUUUGUUCCACGGGCUGAUUUCUCUUACAAAAUGCUGAUAUAUAUUUGGAAUUUCAAUAUGCUUGAAUGGAAGGGAUGUUCAACCGAUUGGAAACUGGUGUUGCAUGAUGAAAGGAUGUUUUGUUUACGAAGUUGUUUGGAUUUCGUCUCGAAGAUAUGGCAUUGGUUCUGUUGAAGACGUUCAGGUUUUGCUCUUGAAGCUGUUCAAAUUUCUUUCAUUUUUUUUAAAGAAAUUGGAAAAAUAUAUAUUUGUAAACAAUAAUAAAGCUAACUUAUGGUAUAGUUUAUAUAA